GUGCUUGCCUUGGCAGCACAUAUACUAAAAUGGGAACAAUACGGAGAAGAUGAGCAUGACCCCU
ensembl:snRNA RNU6-632P RNA, U6 small nuclear 632, pseudogene